GACGAACGCUGGCGGCGUGCUUAACACAUGCAAGUCGAACGGAAAGGCCCUGCUUUUGUGGGGUGCUCGAGUGGCGAACGGGUGAGUGAAACGUGAGUAACCUGUCCUUGACUUUGGGAUAACUUCAGGGAACUGGGGCUAAUACCGGAUAGGAGCUCCUGCUGCAUGGUGGUGGAUGGAAAGAUUCGGCGGUUGGGGAUGGACUCGCGGCUUAUCAGCUUGUUGGUGGGGUAGUGGCUUACCAAGCCUUUGACGGGUAGCCGGCCUGAGAGGGUGAACGGCCACAAUGGGACUGCGAUACGGCCCAGACUCCUACGGGAGGCAGCAGUGGGGAAUAUUGCACAAUGGGCGGAAGCCUGAUGCAGCAACGCCGCGUGCGGGAUGACGGCCUUCGGGUUGUAAACCGCUUUCGCCUGUGACGAAGCGUGAGUGACGGUAACGGGUAAAGAAGCACCGGCUAACUACGUG
rnacentral:rRNA from 1 species